GGUUAAGUGACUAAGCGUACACGGUGGAUGCCUUGGCAAUCAGAGGCGAUGAAGGACGUGCUAAUCUGCGAUAAGCUUGGAAGAGUUGAUAAGAAACGUGAUAAUUCCAAGAUUUCCGAAUGGGGAAACCCAAUAGGUGAAGAACCUAUUAUUAAUGACUGAAUACAUAGGUCAUUAAAGCGAACCGGGAGAACUGAAACAUCUAAGUACCCCGAGGAAAAGAAAUCAACCGAGAUUCUGUGAGUAGCGGCGAGCGAAAGCGGAAGAGCCAGUUAGUUUUAGCAGUAGUAUUAAGAGAAUGAGUUGGGAAACUCAAUCAAAGAGGGUGAUAAUCCCGUAUCUGAAAAUACAAUUGUGGAACUAAGCUAACGAUAAGUAGGGCGGGACACGUGAUAUCCUGUUUGAAGAUGGGGGGACCAUCCUCCAAGGCUAAAUACUCCUGAUUGACCGAUAGUGAACGAGUACUGUGAAGGAAA
rnacentral:rRNA from 1 species